rnacentral:rRNA from 1 species
CUUUUCUUGUUUUUUGAUUUGAAGUAUGACCUGCCCGCUGAUGUGAUUGAAGGGCCGCGGUAUUUUGACCGUGCAAAGGUAGCAUAAUCAUUAGUUCUUUAAUUGUGAGCUGGUAUGAAUGGUUUGACGAGGUAUUGACUGUCUUUGAUUUAGAUUUGUUGAAUUUGUUGUUUGGGUAAAAAUACCUAAAUUUUUUUAUGGGACGAGAAGACCCUAUAGAGUUUUAUAUGAUGUAUCUUUUUUGUUUGUUUGUUUUUGUGGGUUGUUCAUAUUUUGUUGGGGUGAUGGGAAGGUAAAUGUAACCCUUCUUUUAUUUGUUUCAUUUAUUUAUGUUUUUGUGAUCCUUUAUUAUUGAUUAUAANAUUAAAUUACCUUA